rnacentral:rRNA from 1 species
GGUCAGGAUGAACGCUAGCUACAGGCUAACACAUGCAAGUCGAGGGGCAGCAUGAUCAAGCUUGCUUGAUUGAUGGCGACCGGCGCACGGGUGCGUAACGCGUAUCCAACCUGCCGUGUACUCCGGGAUAGCCCUCUGAAAGGAGGAUUAAUACCGGAUGUGGUCGGGUGAGGACAUCUUUGCUCGAUUAAAGAUUUAUCGGUACACCGAUGGGGAUGCGUACGAUUAGGUAGUCGGCGGGGUAACGGCCCACCGAGCCUUCGAUCGUUAGGGUCUGAGAGGAAGGUCCCCACAUAGGAACUGAGACACGGUCCUAACUCCUACGGGAGGCAGCAGUGAGGAAUAUUGGUCAAUGGGCGAGAGCCUGAACCAGCCAGGUAGCGUGAAAGGAUGACUGCCCUAUGGGUUGUAAACUUCUUUUAUAGGGGAAUAAAGUGCGUCACGUGUGGCGUUUUGUAUGUACCCUAUGAAUAAGCAUCGGCUAAUUCCGUGCCAGCCGCCGC